rnacentral:lncRNA from 1 species
AGAACUCCCCUACUGCUCAGCUGCACCACCCUCUUCGGGUAACGAAUCUGGUGGUGGAAAUUGCACGACGGUCCCAAACUGUGGCGACUCAAGCAUAGUCCCCUGUUGUGCAAACGGCUCCGUUAACGACCUCGUUAGACCAGUAGCAAACGCUACAAAAUUGUCUUACAUAGCAUCGACCUUCUGCUCCAACCUUCAGAGUUGUCGAUCCCUAGUAGCAGCAGUUGUUUGUGUUUAACGUGCCUGCUUUAUUUGACUUGGAGGGCUGCGAUGAAGGUGUAGACGAUGCAGGACGCAGAAUAAAACCCUUUCCUCUUGGAUGCGGUGUACCCCCUUGCCAAUAUUCAAAUCUUGCGAUUGUAGCAUGCGUAAUGUCUUGGCUGGAGAACUACAACUGCUCAUUCGUCCACCUAAUUCCUGCCUUGGCACACAAAUGCGUCACUAUUGAAGCAUGUGGAAUACUCCCUGUAGUACUUCCCCGCAUAUAUCUCAUCAUAUUCUGAUUCAUCAAGUGACCCACGUCGAUAUAUUUCCAACAAUGAUUCCCCAUAAUAUAAUUGCUCGUUCUACUGUAAUUUCAUGCUGGUGAGAAGAUGGCAUAAGUUUGGCACACACAAAGAGAUUCUAGGCUUUGGCAUAGCGAUUGAGAGUGGAAGCCGGAAAUGUCUUGGGGUGAUUCGUGCCAGGAGUGCAUGUCCAAUGGGUCCCUGGAAUACACAGAUCAGUGAUAACAACGUCCAAAUCUGUUUCCAAACGUUCUACCUCCACCUAAUUCGUUCGUCCAGCUCGAUGGUCGGGUAAAUUGAACACUUGGAGAAUGGCUCUCGGUCUGUAGUCCACUUCAAUCCCACGAACAAAAGAAAACCCAUUCAUUGUUUCCCUCGCAUUUGCGUAAAACUCCCGCACAACAGCCAUAUGUGCAGCCGUCGGUGUAGAGCACUCACCAUGCCAACACCUUUCUCUAAUCAUCUACACUAACUGUCCAUCCUGCGCAUCUGGCUUAAACCCUCGUUCACGAACAAAUGACUUCUCCACAAUUCGAUAGUAUUUAAUUUGAGCAUCCAAGUUGAUAAACUUUGAUAAAUCAACAUUAUCCCCACUUUGCAUGCUUGAAGAUGAUGAUUCAGGGGUAUGGGAUCUCGUACGCUUAGGACCCAUUUGAGACUGAUAAGGAAGAAGAAUAAGACUUGCCUGAUAGUUAGUGAUAGUCGAAGACUGAAUACCCCCAAACUGAUUUCGCACAACCCACUCUGAAACCCAAGUUUUUAUCAGUGUAGCUAUUGAUCGUGGGUAUGAGAUUUGAUGCAAAAAUCACAUAGUGGAGAAGAGACAUU